CUAGCGUUGUUCGGAAUUACUGGGCGUAAAGCGCGCGUAGGCGGCUUUGUAAGUUAGAGGUGAAAGCCCGGAGCUCAACUCCGGAAUUGCCUUUAAGACUGCAUCGCUAGAAUCAUGGAGAGGUUAGUGGAAUUCCGAGUGUAGAGGUGAAAUUCGUAGAUAUUCGGAAGAACACCAGUGGCGAAGGCGACUAACUGGACAUGUAUUGACGCUGAGGUGCGAAAGCGUGGGGAGCAAACAGG
rnacentral:rRNA from 1 species